rnacentral:tRNA from 1 species
GCGUCGGUGGCGGAGUGGUCAAUCGCAGCAGACUGUAAAUCUGCCGGCUUUAUGCCUACGUUGGUUCAAAUCCAACCCGGCGCA